rfam:Dipodomys ordii contig_49739, whole genome shotgun sequence.
UGUGCUUACUUUGGCAAUACAAUAUACUAAAAUUGGAAUGAUACAGAAAAGACUAGCAUGGCCCCUGCACAAGGAUGAAACACAAAUUUGUGAAGCAUUCCAUAUUUUC